UGGCUUAAUCUGAUAUAGAAGGCCUGGAGGGCCAUGGAGAAAUUCCCAAACACCUCCUAACAUUCCUCGAAUUUUUUUCCUUCUCAUGGGAAACGAUUGAGGCAGACAAUUGUGACUGACCCUUGUGCUGAAGUCACACCACAUCUGUGUGCACCCUUCCAGAAGCUGUACUUCUUCAACAGGUGGAACAUGAAAGAGGAAGAGCCAGCAAAGUUGCCUGCAAGAGAAAGCACGUGGCCUGAGAGGUGAACCAGGGACAGCCUCUGAAGAGCCAAGGAUUUAUCUGAACAGCCAAAUGUCCACUGACAGACAGGUCUGUGUGUGCUAGAGAAACUUGUUCCACAGCUCAGAUGAAAAACGUAUUGCGGAAUUCACCCACAAGGGGAAGUGAGUUAAUGACUGGGGCGUUUCACCUUCUGCCUAGAUGCGUCAUAAAAUCAACUUAUAAAGCCUGGCUCAGGAAAUACA